UACAGAGGGUGCGAACGUUGCUCGGAAUGAUUGGGCGUAAAGCGCGCGUAGGCGGUUCGGUAAGUCGGGUGUGAAAACACGAGGCUCAACCUCGUGCGUGCAUCCGAUACUGCCGGACUAGAGGUAGGUAGGGGAGAUCGGAAUUCCUGGUGUAGCGGUGAAAUGCGCAGAUAUCAGGAGGAACACCGGUGGCGAAGGCGGGUCUCUGGGCCGAAAUUGACGCUGAGGAGCGAAAGCGUGGGGAGCAAACAGG
rnacentral:rRNA from 1 species